ACGAGAUGUCAUAAAUGUACGGCUCGUAGAUUGUUCGAGGGGUCAAUACGCCAGACUACUUAAAAAUAGAUUAUGAUAUGAAACGAAAACGUAAGUAUUUUUCUCAUGGAUUCACAUAAAUGACAGAUUUGUUCUAUUGUUUAUAAAAAAUACAAAAUAAAUCAUUGUAUUAUGAAUGUUCGUAACGAAAAUUUCAAUAUAAUACUAAAAAUGUAGAACACUUCAAAUAAACAAGAAAAAAGAAGCGUUGUACAAUUUCAUACUAAAAGUCUUCGAUGCGUAAAAUAAACGUAAAGUUAUGCUAUUUUUUAUCUGUAAUAAUUAGCAAACGCU